rfam:Camelus ferus unplaced genomic scaffold scaffold1120, whole genome shotgun sequence.
GAGGGUAUAGCUCAAGUGGUAGAGCGCAUGCUUAGCAUGCAGGAGGUCCUGGGUUCAAUCCCCAGUACCUCCU